UCUCCGUAGGUAAACCAGCGGAGGGAUCAUUACAGAGUUUGGAAACUACGACCCUUCAUUACGCUGCCGCGCCGUUGCUUCCUCCACUCGCACGGAGCCUACACGCACCCCUGCCCACCCCCACCUCGGCGCGCGGGGUACCGGCCCGCCGCCCGACACUCCACACCAUCAAAGGCCACUCUAAGUUAAUUUUACAAAAAAACACAACUUUCAACAACGGAUCUCUUGGUUCUC
rnacentral:misc_RNA from 1 species